AUAAAAUGGCUGAAGAGAAACUAGCCUGGCCACUCAAAAGGCCUAGAAGCAACAACCAACACAAUAUCAUGAGAAUCUCUAGCAUCCAAAUAUCUUGUGGUCUUAAAAUGCUUCUUUUCCAAGUUAUUUCACAAUGUUACCUCCUUCUUAAGGAAAUGGCUAAAUCCAUUUACAAAGCAGAAAAUGUGCAAGAUGAGCCUGAACCUUCUUACAACUGCUAAAGAUCUAACUGUUAAAGACAGUGGAGUACAUGAGACUCUAAAUGAGGCAAUAUGAGCUUCAGAACAAGGAAUUGCAAUGUAUUGAAUCCCACCAAAUAUGGUUAAAUCUAUUGUAAAUAAUAAUUUAAAAGACAGAAAAUGAAUUGGUCCCCUUUAGAAAAGUCAGCAAACUAAAAACUGAAGAAUCACGCAUUUAUCUUAUUUUUCCUAUGUGAAUUUUACCACUGGGUUACUGAAUAAUAGAUGAGGGAAGCAUCUUUUUAUAAAAAUCCAUACAAUACAUGCAAUUAGUCCAAUUAAUACAUGAGAAAGGAAUUAUAGAGCUGGAAUAUCACCAUUUUGCAACUGUCAGUGAAUAAAUGAAUCAUAGAGCAUCAGCAGCUGCUAAUUAUACAGUAAGUGGGACAACUAGGCAUUAUGAGCCCCCAGUGGGAAAACACGUCACCCCACAGUCUUGAGAGUAGUAUUAAACCUGAGCCUAAUGAGGACUUUCAAUCCAGCAGCCAAAUCUCAGGAUAUACGGGGCACUGAGAAACAUGUCAAAUAUUCUCACGGCAUCAACAACGUUUAAACUAAACAUCUAAAUGGGCAAGACUAAACAAGAUUGUCUAGAAAUGCAUAUUUGGAUGAUAAAACACGAGGAAGAAAUACAAGAAAGUGCUGUAAAUCAAGAUAAUGGUUACUUAUUAGGAGAAGACAAGGAUUGUGAUUGGAACAGGGUACAAGAGGCUUCUGAAGUGACUAACAAAGUUGGUGGUUGCAAGGGUGUUUGCCUCAUAAGAACUAUUUAAGGUGCAUAUGUCUUCUGUGUGACUUUUCUUUAUCCAUGUUUUAUUUUACAAUAAGAGGGUUAAAGUUUUCACAAUAAAAUAUGUGCUCUAUUUUACCAUAAGGUUUUUAAAAAUCAGCAAAACCUAAUUGUUCUACUAAAUGAAUCCAUAGUUUCAGAUCGUGGCUACAGAUUCUUACACAAUUCACUUGUAAUAAGAUUUUAAAACUGUGCUUGUUAAGUAUGUAUAGAAAAAUUAGAAAACGUGUACAAGCAAAAUAAAGAAAAUUGAAAUCACUCUUAGCAUAUCUUCUGACAGACUUUUUCCUGUGUAUAUAUAGUUUAUACUUUUUUCAUAAAUAUUAAUAGAAUCUGUGUUUGCUAUUUUGCAAUCUGCUCCCAUUACUGAAAAUAUCAUAAUUAUACUUCAAUUUUUUUACAUAUAAUUUUGC
rnacentral:lncRNA from 10 species